GAACGGGUGAGUAACACGUGGGCAAUCUGCCCUUCACUCUGGGACAAGCCCUGGAAACGGGGUCUAAUACCGGAUAUCACUUCCACUCGCAUGGGUGGGGGUUGAAAGCUCCGGCGGUGAAGGAUGAGCCCGCGGCCUAUCAGCUUGUUGGUGAGGUAAUGGCUCACCAAGGCGACGACGGGUAGCCGGCCUGAGAGGGCGACCGGCCACACUGGGACUGAGACACGGCCCAGACUCCUACGGGAGGCAGCAGUGGGGAAUAUUGCACAAUGGGCGAAAGCCUGAUGCAGCGACGCCGCGUGAGGGAUGACGGCCUUCGGGUUGUAAACCUCUUUCAGCAGGGAAGAAGCGAAAGUGACGGUACCUGCAGAAGAAGCGCCGGCUAACUACGUGCCAGCAGCCGCGGUAAUACGUAGGGCGCAAGCGUUGUCCGGAAUUAUUGGGCGUAAAGAGCUCGUAGGCGGUCUGUCGCGUCGGAUGUGAAAGCCCGGGGCUUAACCCCGGGUCUGCAUUCGAUACGGGCAGACUAGAGUGUGGUAGGGGAGAUCGGAAUUCCUGGUGUAGCGGUGAAAUGCGCAGAUAUCAGGAGGAACACCGGUGGCGAAGGCGGAUCUCUGGGCCAUUACUGACGCUGAGGAGCGAAA
rnacentral:rRNA from 2 species